GUAGUCGUGGCCGAGUGGUUAAGGCGAUGGACUUGAAAUCCAUUGAGGUCUUCUCGUGCAAGUUCGAAUCCAGCCGACUACG